UUUGAGAAAAAAAUUUUGGUCACUUUUUUUGUUAUCAUUGAGACAUCCCUGGUAGUCAUUAAAACAGUGAGUGUUUCUGAAAGUAUUUAAAUGCUACUUUCUGGACACCAGGUUACAGUAAAUACCAGACAGUUAUAUUUGAUUCUGUUGAGGACAGAUCUCCAAUAAAAUAGCCAUUCAUUUUUAAGAGCUCUUGUAUAUCUUAAUGAAAGAUUUUUUAAAGAAUUACCUGGUUUU
rnacentral:lncRNA from 1 species